rnacentral:rRNA from 1 species
CACAUGCAAGUCGAGGGGCAGCAUGAACUUAGCUUGCUAAGUUUGAUGGCGACCGGCGCACGGGUGAGUAACACGUAUCCAACCUGCCGAUGACUCGGGGAUAGCCUUUCGAAAGAAAGAUUAAUACCCGAUGGCAUAGUUCUUCCGCAUGGUAGAACUAUUAAAGAAUUUCGGUCAUCGAUGGGGAUGCGUUCCAUUAGGUUGUUGGCGGGGUAACGGCCCACCAAGCCUUCGAUGGAUAGGGGUUCUGAGAGGAAGGUCCCCCACAUUGGAACUGAGACACGGUCCAAACUCCUACGGGAGGCAGCAGUGAGGAAUAUUGGUCAAUGGACGAGAGUCUGAACCAGCCAAGUAGCGUGAAGGAUGACUGCCCUAUGGGUUGUAAACUUCUUUUAUACGGGAAUAAAGUGAGGCACGUGUGCCUUUUUGUAUGUACCGUAUGAAUAAGGACCGGCUAACUCCGUGCCAGCAGCCGCGGUAAUACGGAGGAUCCGAGCGUUAUCCGGAUUUAUUGGGUU